rnacentral:rRNA from 1 species
AGCGAACGCUGGCGGCAGGCCUAACACAUGCAAAUCGAACGAACCUUUCGGGGUUAGUGGCGGACGGGUGAGUAACACGUGGGAACGUGCCUUUAGGUUCGGAAUAACUCAGGGAAACUUGUGCUAAUACCGAAUGUGCCCUUCGGGGGAAAGAUUUAUCGCCUUUAGAGCGGCCCGCGUCUGAUUAGCUAGUUGGUUGAGGUAAUGGCUCACCAAGGCGACGAUCAGUAGCUGGUCUGAGAGGAUGAUCAGCCACAUUGGGACUGAGACACGGCCCAAACUCCUACGGGAGGCAGCAGUGGGGAAUCUUGCGCAAUGGGCGAAAGCCUGACGCAGCCAUGCCGCGUGAAUGAUGAAGGUCUUAGGAUUGUAAAAUUCUUUCACCGGGGACGAUAAUGACGGUACCCGGAGAAGAAGCCCCGGCUAACUUCGUG